UACGAAGGGGGCUAGCGUUGUUCGGAAUUACUGGGCGUAAAGGGUGCGUAGGCGGCCCUGUAAGUCAGUGCUGAAAUAUCCCGGCUUAACCGGGAGGGUGGCAUUGAUACUGCGGGGCUAGAGUACAGAUGAGGUAGGCGGAAUUGACGGUGUAGCGGUGAAAUGCGCAGAUAUCAGGAAGAACACCAAUGGCGAAGGCAGCUCUCUGGGACGGUACUGGACGCUGAGACGCGAAAGCGUGGGGAGCGAACAGG
rnacentral:rRNA from 1 species